rnacentral:lncRNA from 1 species
UUUUGGAUAAAGAUGGUGAGUGCUAUUGGAACAAUGAAGCUCAAAAGAAAAAGUGAAGGAAGGAAAAUGAGAUAGAUGGGAUAGCUUUGAAUAUUUUAUGCUAACUAUUUUUUAAUUUUGUAAUUUUUAUCUUUAGAAAACCAAUUUAAUGAUGAAUGUUAACCAAGUCUACCCUCUUCACAUUUCUUUACCAUAGUAGACAUACAUACGUAUGUAUAGUUAUUACCUUGAUGAUAG